GAUGAACGCUAGUGGCAGGCCUAACACAUGCAAGUCGAGCGGAUGAGGGAAGCUUGCUUCCCGAUUUAGCGGCGGACGGGUGAGUAAUGCCUAGGAAUCUGCCUAUUAGUGGGGGAUAACGUUCCGAAAGGAACGCUAAUACCGCAUCCGUCCCGAUGGAGAACGCGGGGGAUCGUAAGACCUCGCCCUAAUACAGCGGCCGAUGUUGGAUUAGCUAGUUGGUGGGGUAAAGGCCUACCAAGGCGACGAUCCAUAGCUGGUCUGAGAGGAUGAUCAGCCGCACUGGGACUGAGACACGGCCCAGACUCCUACGGGAGGCAGCAGUGGGGAAUUUUGGACAAUGGGGGCAACCCUGAUCCAGCCAUUCCGCGUGAGUGAAGAAGGCCUUCGGGUUGUAAAGCUCUUUCGGCAGGAACGAAACGGUAGUUACUAAUACUAGCUGCUAAUGACGGUACCUGAAGAAGAAGCACCGGCUAACUACGUGCCAGCCGCCGCCGUAA
rnacentral:rRNA from 1 species